rnacentral:misc_RNA from 1 species
UGAAAGGCGAAACGUAAUGUGAAUCGCAACUAACAGUGAAUCAUCGAAUCUUUGAACGCAGGCCGCAUCUUCUUGUAUCACUUGUGAUAAAGGAAGGUAUCUGCGUAUGAGUGUCAGCCAAAAAUCCUUUUGGUUCACGAGGGAAGUAGAUGAUCCAUCCACCUAACUUGUGAAUACACACGUGUCAAAUGUGACGUAUCACAUGAAACAUGUUCUGUCUGGCCUCAUAUGCGGAAGGUUACCCGCUGGAUUUAAGC